rnacentral:lncRNA from 1 species
GUCACCAAUCACUUCAAAUUUAAAUUCCAAUUCUUACCACAUAAACAAAAUUAAUUCCUUCAAAACAAUAAAUCUUUAAAUAUAAAAUAUCUAUUCUUCAGCAGCAGAAUCACCACUCUGCUUGUUGUGCUUCCUUGCAUACCUCUGGUUCCUCAAGAACUUGGGAUCCAUCUGCAUUUACAAUCAUAAUAUUCUCAAUUCAAACCAAAUCCCAUCCAUUCAUCAAUACAUAACACAAUUUGUAUAAUAGCUAACUUUAUCUAUAAAAUUAUGAUAAAGAAACGAGCAUGUUACCCAUAUAAUUGUAUUUGAUACAAUGAAUAUGUAUUUAUACAAGGCAAAUUGGAUUUAAAUAAUCCAAACUCGUUUAUUCCCGACAGUGGUCCCAAUUUAAUAAAAUAAAUUUGAAAAAUGGUUUUCGAGCUUUUGAUCAGAACGAGGAUACAAGUCGAUUGAUAUUAACUUUACCUCGAAACGGUGCUCCAAACAACGAAAACGGUGCUUCAAUUCAGGUGUUUAAACUACCAAUUAACAAAAAACGGUGCUCCAAAUGGCUUGAUUUUUGUUAAUUGGAAGUUUAAACACCUGAAAUGAAGCACCGUUUUCGUCGUUCGAGCAUUGUUUCAAGGGUCGUUAGGGUUUCACAGAGAUCGGGUGUCUUUUAUGUGAAUGUGAAACCCUAG